CUUUUUUUCCAACGAUAGGCCUAUACGGCAACUUUCAAAUUUCUAGAAAAAAUUAUUAGAGACGUUCCCCACCCACUCAGGUUUUUAGGUUUUUGUUUCCACGAAGCUACGAAUUAAACAGAGGUAUUUGUUAUAAUAAAUUGCAUAUAUAGGUCUACAUCCUUUUUCAGUGCACUCGGUGUACUGGAAAUAGGAAGUGUUGAUUAGGUGUGUAAUUUAGAAGCUCUUUGGCUUACAGCACAAACUAAAUUAUUAUUAUUUAUUUGGCAACAGUGAUUUUUUAAUUUAGCCUCCUUGACAUUGUCUAGAAUAAAAGAUGUAUCGUUCAAAUCCCCAUUAAUCUCAAUGAUAACAAGAGUUAGCCAGAUUUUAAAACUUAUAGCUGCCUAAUUAAUGUUUAGGCUUCCAUUUUAGGAGAUACAAAAAUCGACACAUCUAUUGAGUGACAUCUCACAAGAUUUCCAAAAAAAACGCAAAGCUUUAUUUAUUUCCUUAUUAAAGCCUUAAUUAAAGUUAAUGCGUUUUUUUAAAUAUUCUUAUUUGUGUGACUAUUUCCGGCUCCCAGAACAUCUAACCUUACCACGAAUACCUGAAGUACUUACAAUUAAAAAUCACAAUGCCCAAUAUCACGCGCCAAACGAGGUGACGGUAACCCAUGACGGAGAACCCCCAGAAAAAAGCCUAUGUGACAGGAAGACAGUUUCUGUGUUAUCUCAAGCGAGCAGCGUCCUGCAAAUGAUCACUAUCUCCUCAAGAGGACGUCCUACGUACACAGAAUACAAUGUCCCGUUGGAUGCACUUCAGUGCGAGUGCAUAUGUAGUACGUGGCACACUUAUUGUCGACUUAAUAGCCUUCAAAAAGAGACAGUACUGGAUUAGGGGAGACAAGCCUUGUGUAGAAAAUUAGGUCGUCACCUAAAAAUAUGAAACUAAAAAUAG
rnacentral:sRNA from 1 species